AGUAGGAUGGCAGCUUUGGGAAAGAGACGUGAGAGUGAGUGUGCAGAGAGCUUGGGCUGAGUGCAAGAGAUAAGUGGGAUGCAUCGUGUCUUAGAGGCAAUCAAGCAAGAGAGGAUGGGGUGGCAGACGCUUCAACUCUCUAGCCCCUCCUUCCAGGGCAGAGCCAUUUUAGAGACCCACGCCUUUUCCCAUCCAUAGGCUGCUGAAGCCAGAAACAGCCCAGCACUUAAGAGGGGAGCAGACAAUUACAUCACCGGUCUGGGCAGUAUCUUCUCAGCCUAAACCAUUAUUUCCUCCCUUCUUUUAACAAAGACUCCUAGUUUCCCCACCCAAUAUCCAGGCUCCAUUUUCUUCCUAACUGAAUGUUGACUUCUUCCCCCUGGGGAACAAGAUAUCAAGGAAAAUGAUGCACCUUGUUUGCCUCCCUUGCAAGUGGGCCUGGCUCAUCCAUCAGAGGUGAGCAGACGUCAUCAGGUGGAACUUCCAGGCAAGUCCUUCAAUGAAGCUGACUCAGCUGGGGGAUGCUUUUUCUCUUUCUUCUUCUUUCUGCCUAAUAUGUGGACAUCUGUUCGGAUCUUGAGGCAAAUUCGAUGACAGAAUCACAUCCUAGAGAGGUAAUAAAGCAGACAUUUAGGAGGACACUGGUACCUGAUGACUGCUAUACCUGCCUACGACUGGAUUUCAGUAUGGAGAAACCUGAAGACCAAAAUUUAUACCACCCCUAAGGAGAGCAGCCAUCUUCCUCCCUGUCCUGAGCAGGAAUAAACAAAGACUGAACAAACCCUUGCAGCGGGGCGGGUGGCGGGAGAUGUUUCCAAGCUUUACUCAAAGAAAACGGUGAUGCCUAUGUACAUGUAAGUGAUUUGCCACCUGUGCAAAAGUCUGCACGAUAGCCCUGGGGGAGAGUUCCUGAGACACCCGAGCUCGAGUCUGCAACCCUCAUCUCCUUUCUGUGCCGACUCAGGAAGAAAAUAAGCCCCAGCAGGAAACUCACCCUUUGAAAUGUCAGAGUCCACGAAGUAAGGGCGAGGUGCCCUAAAGCAUCCAAAUGGCAUCUCCUGCCCCAAGAACUUAUCCAAGCCCUCAUCCUGACACUGGGGAGGCUGAGUUACCUCGGUAGGUGCUCCCCGCAAGUGGGAGACAAGCAGCGGUCAUUGGUUUUCAUUUGCUGAAAUCAGCAACUUAAUCCUAACUUAACCAGAGCCUGAAUCUCCCCCUUCCAAGGCAAGGCCUUCCCUGGGAAUGAUUGAAUUUCGCAGGGUGCAAUAAAACAAAGGGCUUCUGCUGAAUCAGGCGCCAGACUCAUAAGCCUGUAAAUCUCCCGCUUACUCUUCAAGGCGGGGAUGUUAUCUCCACCCCAGCCAUCCCCGUCAUGUCAUGGCGCCUGCUGUUUCCACAACCUCUCCUGCUAAGAAGGUGACCCUAG
rnacentral:lncRNA from 1 species